GUAAGUAUCAUAUACGGUCGCGCUAAUUUAAAAAUUAGUGAGGAAAGUCCGGACUCCAUGUAGCCUCUGACAUAUUGAGGUAGGUGCCAACGAAAGUUGGGAGGGAGUAAUCUUUCGGAGAAAAGGGCAACAGAAAGUUAUACCGCCUAAGUUUACUUAGGUAAGGGUGAAAUGGUAGUGUAAGAGACUACCGGGUACUGUAGUAAUACAGUAUUGCGUGGUAACCCCCCCUGGAGCAAGGUUGAACCGCAUAGAUAGAUGAUCGUUUGAUACAGAAUCCGGCUUAUUUGAUACUUACACAU
rnacentral:RNase_P_RNA from 2 species